rnacentral:tRNA from 1 species
CAUUGCGAUGACAGGAUUACUUGGAGACAUUGCCACUUUAAAACAGGUGAUAGAGUAUAAACUUUCCCUCUACU